rnacentral:sRNA from 1 species
UAUGGUAAAAGAAUAUUUUAAUAUAAAGUCACCCAUACACGGACAUUCGUAAUUAUAUUAAAUAAGGUGCCCGUGCAUGUGUGCACAUCUUCCUAAACAGUAAGCACCCCACAGCAAGAUGGAUCAUGCUCGACAAGAACAAUCCCAUCGCUGAACAAUUAAUUGAAGUUCCUACUUAUGCCUUCAGGGGAAGAACCAUGGCAGCGGUGACCUUCUUUAUGGAGGGCCUCGCCGCGAGCCCAUCCCACCAUGCCUUCACAUGAGGGUACUUGUCGAGUAGUGAAGCGUAUGGCGUCGCCAUGAAGUAGAAGGUGAAGGGGAAGUGGCUGAGGUCCACAAAGCUGAGGAAAUUGCCAGCCAAAUACGUAUUCUGCGAUAGACGGGCCUCAUACACCUCCAGCACUUUCUUCAGCUUCUCCAGGCUAUUAUCGACCACCUUUUGGUUGGUCGGGACACCGUACAUGGCCGGGUUGAAGAGGCAUUCAUACACGAUCGACGAGAUCACCGGAUAGUACUGGUGUAUCUCCACCUCGAUCCCGAUGUCCACCAUGGCCGCCUCAGUCAGGUUGCCUUCCCGCAGUAGGUUGGCCUCGCUGGUCUUGUACUUGCGAAGGAUGUACCUUCCUACCGCGCGGGACUCUGAAAAGGAAAUGCAUUUAGCCAGUUUUAUUUGCUUAAAUCUGAAUAUUUUAGAUGGUAAAUCUGUGAAAAAAAUUUAUUUGUAAUGUAAACAUAUGAAAAUCUAUUGUGCCGCAAAUGAGCGAUGUGAUGCUAUGUAUUUGUAGUAUUAUAUUAUCGGUGGAAAUAAUCUGAAUUAUUUAUUAUUAAAGGUAAAUUAAUAAUUUACUCAUACAGUGACUAGGGUAAUUUAUGUUUUUCUCUAUAUAGGUUGGUCGGUGAUCAUCCAUCUCACUAUCGCGGAUAUCGCUCAUAUUCUAUCAAGAAAAACAAAAGGAAAAAGGGCUCUGGAUCCCCAGUCCUCCGGCUGGCAUUUUUUUAAAUAAUUUCCCUUCACGUUUCUACUACUGAUAGCUUUGAUGCUAGUAAAACUUAGAUUUAAGCACUUCGAUCAAAUGAAAUCAACGAUUCAGAUUACUUUAUACUACCGAUAGAGAGCAUCGCAGUGGAACUCCCUGCAAAAAGCUCUGUUUAGUUGUAAAAUCUCAAUUAGCUGCCGAAUAUGCAUGCCAGUCGAUUGGUUUAGUUCUGUGUUCUCAUGAUGUCUCCCAAACUAUUCACGACUCCUGUCCAAGAGUACAGAAGAACUACAGACCGAAGAGAAGCAGAUCCCCGUCCUGGAAAGCUGGCAUUUGACCAAACGGGUUGCGCUUGAGGUGUUCGGGGCUCUUAUGCUCCAUGGCCUUGAAGUCGAUGUUGACGAGCUCGUACUCGACACCGACCUCCUCCAGGCACACCAGCACCCGCGCCACGUUCGUCGACAUGGCCGGACCAAACACCUUCACCGGUGCCAUCUUCGUGGAGCCUAGCUGCCCGCGAGCAAUCAGAGGAAUCUUGUGGAGUAGACGAGUGCGGCUGCGUGUGGUGCAGU